GGUAGCUAGCACGCUGGAUGCCUGUGCUGCCCGCUCCGCCGUGCCGCCGCCGGAGUUCAGUGCUGCCUACCAAAGGGUACCUGCUACGAACUAAGCAGGGACCGCCUCGCGCGAUCAGAGAGGAGAUGGGGAAUCGCUGCUGCCUGCGGACCUGUGCGGUGCCGCAGUCGUUGCUGCCUGUGCACGAGGACCGGCGCUCCGCCGCCCCCAACUGCAUGCGCGAGCCUGCGCACCGCUGCCUUGCAUAUUAUUAAGACCUUUUCCAACACUCGGUCAUCUCCUUCCCUCCAUCAUGGUUGUGCCAUGCUUCUGGACGAAGCACCAGGGAGCAGCGGCCAUACCUGGCCCAUGGGAGUGACGGGGCUGCUCCAUGCCCCCUUGAUCCCCAACUUCACAGCCUUGCCUAAGAUUUGUCCAUUUUCUGAUUCUAACUGCAGCUCACAUCAAGCCAUAAUUGCUGCCUGCAAGGUGCUCGACAGAAUGCUCCGGUGAUGACAUGAUGUUUGGAGCUCUGUUGGCAAAGGAGAAUUUCUUUGGCAAAGUUGAAGAUGUGGCCUAUGAACUCGGAUCCCUGUACCAGUACAACAGACGCACAAUGUCCCAAUAAUGGUCCUCUUCUCUUCUAGAUUGGAACAUCGAACCUUGCGGUAUCAUGUACUCUCCAAGGGCUCAAAGGAUGACCGAUUUUCAGUCAAUGAAAAAUCUUUCGAAGGCAAUUGACUUUGCUAAGAGGAAUUUUCUUGCUGGAAAAAAAACUUGUAUGCUGUCAAAAUGGAUAAGAUAUAAUUAUUUGUGUUUCCUUGGCAAUAGUGACAUUGUUGUUCGAUGAUAAGGGAUGCUUUGACUGUGUCCAUUCUUUCAUGAAAAGAGACAUCACAAGAUUGGAGAUGAGGAAGAGGCUGGUAUAUAUUCAUUUGCAAAUUUGC